UACGGAGGGGGCUAGCGUUGCUCGGAAUCACUGGGCGUAAAGCGCACGUAGGCGGCUUUUUAAGUCAGGGGUGAAAUCCUGGAGCUCAACUCCAGAACUGCCUUUGAUACUGAGAAGCUUGAGUCCGGGAGAGGUGAGUGGAACUGCGAGUGUAGAGGUGAAAUUCGUAGAUAUUCGCAAGAACACCAGUGGCGAAGGCGGCCCACUGGCCCGGUACUGACGCUGAGGUGCGAAAGCGUGGGGAGCAAACAGG
rnacentral:rRNA from 1 species